ensembl:lncRNA
GUUUGAUUUGAAUGUUUCUGUUCAUUAAUUAAUUAACCGAACCCAAUUAAUCACUCACUCUGUGCUCGUGGUCGGAGCCUGCGGCUGGUGCGUGUUUCCUCACGUGGCUGAACACACUGUUCCCAUUCUUGUUUACGUCUUCCCAACCACAUUCUUGGCGACGCGACUCAUUGCUGGAAGUGAACGCUUGCGAUGGAGUCGUCGUGGGGUUUAACUCCGUGUUGGAGCUGACUCGUUUAAAAGUGCACAGGCCGUACGUCCUGGAUCUGACGAAAGACUUCUUAUUAUGUCCAUUCUUGGUUUUAGAAAUAUUCCCAUGCUCAUCAUCACAAGCAGCAGGAGUUCGCUCCGGUUUCCCUCGAUGUUCAUCAUCCUUCUCGGUGGAUCGAGGCGAUCCGCGUCUUCUACAGUCCACUUUGGAAAAGUUGCUACCGUUUGUAAAGUUUGGGAAUUUAAAUCGCCUGAAAGAAUUCCUCACAUCCCCGGGAGAUCUCGGAGCAGGGGCGACUGUUUCCUCCGGCGACUCGGUUUCUCUUUUGGAAACGUUUAUUUCGACCACACACACAGUGGAGUGCGGACAGAGUCCCCCUCUGGCCUCCCCCCGUUGCGUUGCAACGUCAGCGCGGAGGUGGCUGUACCAAGCCAAGCCUUCAGACUGCAACAUCUGGAGAACAGCUCAACAGCUUCCAGACCGGGCAGAAAAGGAGGGGAGAGAGGGGGAGAGAGAGAGGAGACGAGAGGGAAGGGGGGAGGCCCAGGCUGUGGAAUAACUGUGGUUUUUCCGACUUCCCCUUAAUUUGAGGAAAAUGUGUGCUGCUGGCUGGAAUACUUUUAAUGAGUGGGUGUACAGCUCUUUCUGUUUAUAAUUUACCCAGCACUUUCCAUAAAGAGAAAGUUACGCAUCUUAUAUAAUAUUUACUUGAUGAGUCAAUGUAAUUUUUAUAUUCCAUGUCAAUGAAGCUCUGUUGAAUACAAUUGAGAGACUAAUUAAAGUAAAUCCUAGUUCCCCUUACAACUGAUCCCACAUUGCAAUGAUAUUCCAUCUGACAAAGAUGUUCUUUCAUUAUUCUCAUAAGUCUGCUCAAUAUCCACACAAAAGUGACCCUCUGAUAGGUAUUUGUGUACACACUGCGGACCGACUCUUGCUCAAAAGUACAUACAGUAUGUAGAGGGAAGGAGAUAUAACAUUGCUCCUGAGGCAUGACAUAAAGAGGCAUCACUUCCACACAACCUUAAUGGAAGCCACCAGUUUCACUGCCCUUCCAAACGCAGACUUCUUCGCCUUAAUCCUCAACCCCAUUACAAGUUGAGUCUUAACCCUCUCUCCGCUACCAGCAGCUCCAACCCCUGCCAGUGCCCUUCUUCCAGAUGAAAGCAGACAGAAUUCCUCACUUCAAAGCAGUGAUUCCCACAGCAGUCAUUAAAAGUAUUUUGUUGCAGACACACACGCACAUGAACACACACACACACACACACACACACACACACACACACACACACACACACACACACACACACACACACACACACACACACACACACACACACACACACACACACACACACACACAUAGCUUCCAGUGAACAACAGUGCACUGUUAGACACAAAAAAAGAAAAAUACCCUGACCUAUGUUAUUUUUUUAACAAACAUCCAUCUCUUUUAGCGCAAGUUCUCUCAGCGUCACUCUCUUAGAUUAAACAGAGUUGUCUAAGGAAACUUCAGCAGCGAGACCUCUGAGAGAGAGAGACCAAGCUAAACCAACUAAACAGAUGUGCUCAGCCCCGAGACAGAGGCAUAUUGUACUGCUGACAUAAUGGCAUAAGGUCGUCAAGGCAACGUGGAAGCACAGCCAAGAGACCUCGAUGUAGGAAAAAAAAAAGUGGAACGAGUGCCGAGGUUCUAUUUAUCCUAGUGCUAUUUCUCUCCAUCCAAGAGUGGGCUUUUAUGUGAUGUGAUCUGGGCGAGGACGUUUAGGUUGAGGCUACGUCAAAGCCGUGCACUUCAGAUGACUUCUCGUAUUUUAUGAAGUAAGCUGUGUCUGGCAUAUGUUCUGACGUAUGUUACGGAAGCCCUGUAGCUUCCCCAUACGACAUACAUUAAAGUAUCACCUUUCUCUCUGUAUUUCCGUCACAUCAAAUUCAUGAGACAUUUGCAUUUAUUCUGUGUUCUUCAGCAUGCUUGAACAAUUUAGGCCUAUGUGGGAAUGUUAGCAUUGGUACCAGCAGAUGGAGCCAACAUUCAAGGAAAACAUUAACAAUACAAAUGAAUAGAUCACCUUGAGGGAGAAAAAUAGUUUAGUAGGAGGAAAAUGACAGAUUAUUGAUUGCUGCCAGACAUAUUAGCCGUGGUAAAUAAGUAUUACCUCUGCAACAUGCAUUCAGGAAAUGUUAGUUAUUUCAGCCCAAAAGAGAAAACUUCCUUUUAUUUUGCAACUGUAGGUUUUUGGAUGCCCAAAGACAAUCAUUGGGUGAUUUUCUCGAUUUUCGAACCAAAAUAUCAAAUAACAUUAUUGUUAUGUCUCUUUGAGAUGUCCUCAUACUGUUAAUUCUGUGCUGUAGGUCUCUUCUACAGUGGAGCACAGUGACCUGUUUAUCUCCCAAUUGGCCAAUUUAAUCAGCAGAAAGCAAUACUGCUCCUUUCCCAGAGUCUCUCAACACACUCAAUACCCUCUGCUGUUCGCUGUAUAAUCACCUACUAAUUGAGAUGACUCAUCAGUGUCGACGCUCUCAUCUCAAGUAUCGGCAAAUUAUAGUCUCAAGUAGCAUCGCGACCCGUUUUUGUAUAUGUUGUACCUGUGGCUGAGUUAAUUGUGCCAUGUUGUUGUGCUAUUGUAUUGUAUUGUUUUGUAUUGUAUGAUAGCCAUAAUGUAUUUUAUCGUCACAUAUCAUAUUGGAUUGGAUUGUAUGAUAUCAACAUUGUUUUGUAAUGUGUCGUAUUGUGAUAUUUUGUUUUAACAAUAUGAUAGAAGAUAAAGAUGUAUUCCAAAGUCCUAAA